GUACUGGAGAAGAUUGCUGCGGUGUUUGGCGGCCACCGCACACCAGAGAGUGUCAUCCACACAGCGAAGAUGGGCGGCACCGCAGCUACAGGGGCUCGUUCGAGCAGUUCCUGUGCAAGUGGAAGCCGCUUGAUCAGAGGUCUGAGGAGGCGUUCGGCGGCCACCGCACACCGGACGGCCAAAGAGAAGGGGGAGGGAAGCAAAGCGAGGUGGUCGUGGUCUCCCCAGUGGGCGUGCUACUCGUCGCCUUCGCCGCCGCACGCGGUAGGAAGCAGUCCUCUGGGUGAGCCGUCUGGGCCGACGUGUGCAGCAGCGGAGGAAGCAGGAACAGCGGGCCUGCAGCGAACGUGAAGCGGGGUGUCGUCCGCGGCAUUGCUCGCCGACUCCAUCACCAGCAUGCGGCCAUGUGGGUGCAGCAGAGUGGCUGGGUGGGUGGGGACUGACGAGCGACAGGGUGGUGCCGCAGAGGCAAAGGGCGUGGAUAGCGCCGGCGUCGCAGCAUUCCAUUUGCACUUCGCAACCUGCCCAAUUCUUCUCCACAUCAUAUCAGGCCUCACUUACCUGUGGUGACUGGUGACCCGAUGCCAUCUCCUCCUCCAGUCGCUUCCUUGCUCAGAUCCACCGCAUGUCCACCUCUAGCUGCUUCCCUUGCGCAGAUUUGCUGGUAACAUCUCUCCUUGCACGCAUGAAUGUUCAGGGGCUGACCCCCUCAACAUUGGAUGGUCAACACACAAGGGCUUGGGGGUUGGGGCCUCUGGUUUCAUCCAUGCGUAUUGCUUGGGCUUGCGGCCGGUUGGCAGCUCAAGGCGUGCGGCUGCAUGCCCACAACCUGUAUUUGGAGAGGCAGAGAAAAUCUGAUAGAUAGAGUUAAUCAAGUAUGCUGAUUUGACUUUGCUCCAUCUGUAUAUUUCAGUGUCCAAACUCAUAUCUCUAUAGGUUUCUAGUCUCAUAGUUAAGAGAUUAGGAGUAAAAUUAAAGCUUCAGGUUUGUUCAAUAUUAUAGCAAGCUAACUUGCUCACUAUGUGUUUGUUGAAAUGCUCACGAAGAGUUUAUUUAUCAUGGCUUUACUUUUUAUUGCAGCAAUUCAUGAGAGGUUAUACUGCCAGAGCACUUGUUGAGUAGUUCAGUUUCUGAAUUUUUCUUCCUGACCAUGUGUGUGGUUGAAGGACACCAAGCAUGUGGGAGUAUCUGGCGUGUAUUGAGAAGAAAGAAAAUGUUGCUGCCAGCCUACCAGUAGUAAGAUUUGUUAUUUACCUGAAGUAAACAUUACUGAAGGAUGCUGCUACUGGUGGGGGAGCUGCUACAGUCUUUUUUAUGCAUCGUUGGAAAUUUCAAACAAGCCGACAUGACCUUAUGGUACA